CAGUCGUACCUGCGGAUAAUCAGCUUUUUGAGUGUGAUUAUGUGGUUUAUGAGGAGUUUAACCGCCUUCAUGUAUUGCAUAUUUGUGCUCUUGGGUGUACUUGUCUGUGUGGUAGGUUAACAUCUAAUUUUGGUCGUCAAUAAAAUGUAUUGGAGGAAUGUAGCUUUGAUCUCGUAUCGAAG
rnacentral:rRNA from 1 species